rnacentral:rRNA from 1 species
UACGAAGGGGGCUAGCGUUGCUCGGAAUCACUGGGCGUAAAGGGUGCGUAGGCGGGUUUUUAAGUCAGAGGUGAAAUCCUGGAGCUCAACUCCAGAACUGCCUUUGAUACUGAGGAUCUUGAGUUCGGGAGAGGUGAGUGGAACUGCGAGUGUAGAGGUGAAAUUCGUAGAUAUUCGCAAGAACACCAGUGGCGAAGGCGGCUCACUGGCCCGAUACUGACGCUGAGGCACGAAAGCGUGGGAGCAAACAGG